AUUGAACGCUAGCGGCAUGCUUAACACAUGCAAGUCGAACGAGCGGCGGACGGGUGAGUAAUAUCUGGGAAACUGCCCGAUAGAGGGGGAUAACUACUGGAAAGGGUAGCUAAUACCGCAUACCAUCAGAUGUGCCAAGAUGGGAUUAGCUAGUUGGUGGGGUAAUGGCUCACCUAGGCGACGAUCCCUAGCUGGUCUGAGAGGAUGACCAGCCACACUGGAACUGAGACACGGUCCAGACUCCUACGGGAGGCAGCAGUGGGGAAUAUUGCACAAUGGGCGCAAGCCUGAUGCAGCCAUCCCGCGUGUGUGAAGAAGGCCUUCGGGUUGUAAAGCACUUUCAGCGAGGAGGCGUUAUUCGCAGAAUAAGCACCGGCUAACUCCGUGCCAGCAGCCGCGGUAAUAC
rnacentral:rRNA from 1 species